rnacentral:lncRNA from 1 species
GAGGAUUUAAUAGCAGUUCACAGAGUAAUUGAUAGAGGCAUCAGAAAUUACAAGUAAAGAUUCCCUUAAAAAUGAAUUUACAUGCUUCCAACCACCUCCUUGAUGAGGUGAUACGGGUGUGCUUAAAAAUGUUUGGGGUGUAGCACAUCCACCUGCGUUGCUUAGUGUGUGCAUCGUUACUCUACACUAGUGGUACAUGAUAAACUACAGAGCAAUUUGCCAGCCUGAGUCACAGAUCACCACAACCGCAGAUCCUUUCAUACUCAAAUUGCUUGCUGCCGUUUACUCCUGCUUCAAAAUCGGGGGCGAAGUGUAGCUGUAUCAAUCUGCAAAAAGCAAAUCACUGGUCAGACUGAGAAUCGUAAAACGAGUCCCACCCCAUGUACUUCAGUAAAUGUGUAGAAGUUAACAUAUGCAAUGUCGUGGAAACACAGACAGAGCACAAAAACUGUAUCAUUUGACAAUCACGCAUUAACCGAGAAAGAUGUGCAAGUGCUCAUCCUACAUUCUCACUGUAAGAUAUACUCAGAUAUUGCAUUUAGAACAAAUAAGAUUGAGAUGCUAUAUUCCACCACAAAGAUCAUCCACCCACACAAACAAAUCCAGUACGUUGUCCAACCUAAGGCAUGAUUGCUCAGAGGUCUACUGCUGAGUCUUGAGAUAAUGUUGAAGAUCUAAUUCGGUUGUAGUUUUGUCCACCAAAAGUGAACACUGAUGAGAAUGCAGACAUGCAGAUAUGGUCUCGCAGGUAUUGCCGAAGCAAUCCACACCAGCUAACUUGACCUUCUCUGAACAUAUCUUCACAGACAAGGGAUGUGAAUUCCAAAGCGUCUGGCCUGUCACCUUCAAUAGAAUCAACAUGAAAUAAAUAACCGUCGCAAAAAUAGAGUACCUCCACUAAAGAUGCAGAGACCGACUUCAAAAAAUUAAAAAGAUUCAGACAAAACCAGGCCUAAUCUGUUAGUGAAACUCCUCGAAAACGUACAUCUCUCAAGGUACGUCUAGUUAGGAACACAAGAGGCACAACCAAGUGCUGGAAACCAGAAAUGCACUGGAACAAAUAGUUCUCUGGGGGCAUAAUGUGUAAACGUGCGGCACUAGUUCCCGAGCUACAAGCUUAAUACAUCCCUUCAAUCUGAACUGUAAACGGAACAGUGAAAGAAUAAGGGCAAGUGUUUCACGUUCUGAUCAGUUUCACUUCUCCCAACCAAUGCUUCCACAGGGACCAGGAUCUCUUUCAUUUAAAGCUUCCCAAGCUUCGCUUAAGAUGUCGAACCCUUAGACGAUGUGCAUCGCCGAUUCAUGUAGGCUAAUUCGCAACUAGCUGAAAGGAAGACAUCUGUGAACAGAAGAAUACUAAGGUCUCAUUGAAAAAAUCCCAAAAGUCGCACGUUUCAUUCAAAGAAUAUCACAAUUAAACACAUUGAGGCACUGAGAAGGAAAGUUUCCACUUUACAAAACUCAUUUCAUUUUGCCACUGGGGGAGGAAAUUGCUUACAAAUGGUAUUUAAAUUCUAGGUACAUGACCUGCGCAGAACUUACUUCCGAGUACUAGAAGGUCAGAUAUUUCUUGUACAGCACAGUAAUCCUGUGCACGGCGACUCAUCGGCCGUACAUAAGUCGAAUUAUAUUUCAUUGUGGAAGCACUGUGAUGUAAUGCAUGAUGUACACAAUGCGUAGUAAGACAUGUACAACAGUACGCUUAGAUUUGUAGUGAUAUGAACAGAAAAUCUGUAUCUACGUUAUAACGAUCUUUCGGGAGACACAGGAGACUGCCAAGAGGGGGGAGGAAUGCAAAAAUAACUUGGUCGCGAAAUAGGCGUGGUGAAGUCUAACUGUUACGGAGCAUUUUGAAUAAUCUGCUUGUAUCCUGGACUCUUUCAAAUUGACUUUACUUGGAGAAUGUCUAUGAGAUUGCGAAAGUUUCGUACUAGCAAUGAUGGUAUCAAACUCUCAACGUUAGUACAAUGAUGCCUGCUUACAACCCUGUGUUAAGCAUAAGCAGUGCCAGAGGUAGGGAUAAAGACAACUACCUCAAAGGUUGAUGUAGGCUUAUGACAUUGGACCUUGAGUGUAAAUGUGUCUUGGGCAUUGAUCCUGUUUUGAUAUAUCUGGUCAAAGUGAAGAAAACACGAAUAGAGGAAGCCGGUAGGAGCCCACGGGAUCGUUAUCCACUUGAACAUGAGCCAAAGACGUCGGAGGCCAAGAUGAUAAUAAUUCGUUCCUCAACGACCUAUUUGACAUGUGGCAUGGCUAUCUUGGUUUGAAUUCGCAGAGCCCAAACCUGACUCGUGUUCCAGCACCGUCCACAAGUAUGUUACAAUUCAAUUCUCUACCACGUCUUCGGGCGAGGACAUCUUUCCUAAUGCCCGGAAGCGUUAGGUGCCACCUGACCUCCGACUCCGCGCAUGUACACACGAAUCCUGAUGGUACUUCAGCACCAUGGUUCGAGACAUAAAACCCCACACCAGAACUUGCUUUGCUUCCACAGGGGGCUCCGGAACAAGCAGCACACAGAAAACGAUGUAGCAUGUAAACCAGAUCAACACAUCCCAGUAGAGUUGGAAACACAGACGAUACUCGACCGACACAAAGCACCAGCAGGAGGAAUAGUCCCCCCUGCACCACGCAACCGAUUUUUUAUUAUUAUCAAGAGUGAGACCUACCCCGUAAGCGCACCCAUAAGGGAAAGGUCUCGCGACACAACAGUCAGCCUGAUAAUUCAGCUUUAAGCUUGGCUAAGCUGUGGUCGUCAACUCUUUAAAUAAUAACCUCGACGCCAAAUAAAAUCCGUCGGCGACAAAACGGCGUAGUAACCAACCACGAAGAGUCGUGCUAAAAUAACUUCGAAUGCAACAUCGCAGGCCCGCUCACAGGUCUCUUCUGAUCU